rnacentral:rRNA from 1 species
UAUGAACAACUUUCUCUAGUACGAAAGGACCGGGAAAGUAAGGCCAAUGUAUAAACCCACGCCUUCCCUAAAAGUAAUGAUAAUGUCUUAAUUACUAAAAGGCUAACCUACUAUCAUGCCCUAGAAAAGGACUCA